GCCUGAGUACGUAAUCUUCAACCACGUGCUCCUACUCAAAAUGAAGCCAUAGAGGGUUACUGUCAUGGGAAGUUAGACCUUAUUUAUGAUAAACUACUCAAAAUCCAAGAGAGAGAAGGAAUUAAAAUAGAUCUAUUACUCUGUUGUGGUGAUUUCCAAGUCAGUGGGCUCCUAGGGGCGGGGCGAGACUAGUAGGCUCCAUUUUGUGUUCAUUUCAGUAUAAGACCCACUGCAGGCAAUUAGAGAUCAAGAUGAUCUUAACUGUAUGGCAGUCCCUGACAAGUAUAAGGAAAUCGGAUCCUUCCACAAAUGUUAGGGUUUGUGGGUGGAGCAUUUGUUCCCUUGGCUUUGGAUUGAACUUGAUGUAUUUGAUUAGUAAUUUUAACUAUAAUUCCUAUUUAUAUUCAAAAUGCUAGAAACCUCUACUCCAUCAAGUUCACUGAUAAAUCUUCUUUAUGGUGAAGAUGAUGAUGAGAAGGUUAGGCCUCCUUUGACAAUACAGCCACCAUCUUCCCCCAGACCAACACACAGAGCUGUUAAAUCUAAAAGAGCUUCAUCAAUAGUACGUUCUCCAUAUUUGGCAGCUGUUGCUCCACCACGUCAAUCUGUUGUACCUCAUCACUCUCCAUCAACUAAAAGAUCAUCACCAGUCAAAGCUACACAAGUUUACAAAAAUGGAUUAUUUGUACCUAUUAAAAGAAAGUCAGCUUCAAACAAAGCAACUGAUGUUGAUUCUACAGUGGAUUAUGCUGGUAAAACUGCACUGGAUCUUCGUGAUGAGCUAACGGCAAUGAAGAAGAACCUAUCAGCCACUGAAGAACAAAGAGACAUAUUCAGAGGAGAAGUGAUAAAAUCAUAAACAAUUAGUGAAGAAAGACAAAGAGAUAGAGGAUCUUAUAAUGAGUGGUCAUGUUAGCACUAGAGACAGAGCUAGGAUCAACACUGGGAAUAAACCUGAUGUACUUUUAGUUAGGAGUUCUAAUUAAUGCACAGCAUGUGCUUGUACCGUAUAAGUAGUUUUUUGAGGGAAUUAUAUUUCGCAAAAUCUGCUAAAAUUCCAAUUUGUGGAUUUUAAUUUUGUGAAUUCUACCAUGUGUGCCAUGCGGGUACCGUAUUAAAGUGAUUUUUGCGGAUUUUAAUUUCGCAAAUCAGGAGAGAAUCUGUAAAAUUUGCAACCCUCGAAAAAAGCACUUAUACGGUAUGUACAUUGUAUGUGCACUUUAAGUUCCUUUUUAUCAGCAUCAGAAAAUUUACCAAAAUUAAUAAAGAGUUCUUUCCCAGUAUUUUAGGAUAUUUUUUGGCCAAGUAUUGCAUGCUUUAUAGUAUAGGCCACGUACAAUGUUAGAUGGUGGAGCACAAUAAUAUUUCUCAUUGAUACAAGGAGCAGCAAUAUCAGCACUAGUACAAAUGGAAUCAACUGUUGAUGAGAAAAGUAAAGAAAUUGAGAAACUGAGAGAAGAGAUGACAAGUAUCACUCAGAAACACAAUGAAGAAUACAAAGGUUAUUAAUUGUCCUUCACAGAAGAGGUAACUACCAUAAUUAGAAAAGGAGCAGAAUGAGUUGAUUCAGUACUUGCAGAUUUGGUUAAGACCACUGUAAGAGACAAGUGUUUAUCACUCACUAUGAGAAAAUACAGAGACAAAUAAUUAUUAAUGGGCAUACAACAACUGUACUAAAAUUCUUUUGGAUAUUAUGCUAGAAGUGAAA